UAUUUUGGUUAAUUUUUUUAUUAUUAAAUUAUUUUACAUGUAAAUUUUUGUGAGGAAAUUUAUUAUUUUCAAUAGAUAAUAUUUAAAUUAAUAUUCGCAGUAAUUAAUAUUAAAUAAAAAAGAAAUUUUGUUUUAGUAAUUAUAAAUUAUAGUAUUGGUUAAAUUUGUGCCAGCUACCGCGGUUAUACAAAUAAUACAAGUAAAAAUUUUUUGGUUAUAAUUAAAUAUAUUAAAUUUUAAUAUGUUUAUAAAUUUAUUAAGUGAAAUUUUUAAAUUUAUUUAUUUAUUAAUAAAAAAAAAUUAUUGAAGUUAUAAAAAUUUUAUAAUAAACUAGGAUUAGAUACCCUAUUAUUAAAAUUAAAUAGAAAUAAAUCAAAGUAGUAUUAGAUAUAUUCUUAAAAUUUAAAAAAUUUGGCGGUAUUUUAGUCUAUUCAGAGGAAUCUGUUCUAUAAUUGAUAAUCCACAUUGAACCUUACUUAAAUUUGUUUAAUUUGUAUAUCGUUGUCAUCAGAAUAUAUUAUAAGAUAAAAUUUUCUUAAUAUUAAUAAAAUAAAAUGUCAGAUCAAGGUGCAGUUUAUGUUUAAGUAGAAAUGGAUUACAAUAAAUUUAUUUAAAUGGAUUAUUUUUUGAAAUAAAAAUAUAAAAGUGGAUUUGAUAGUAAAAAAAAAAAGAUUAUUUUUUUGAUUUUAGCUCUAAAAUAUGUACAUAUCGCCCAUCGUUCUUAUUUUUAAAAUAAGAUAAGUUGUAACAUAGUAGAUGUACUGGAAAGUGUAUCUAGAAUGAC
rnacentral:rRNA from 1 species